AUUCUACUAUAUUAUUUGGGAAGUACAUUUUAAAUAUAAU
rnacentral:sRNA from 1 species